CUCCUCUUAGGAUCACACCUGGAGAGUUUCCAGCACUCUACCAAUCUUGACUCCGGGAGAGGGAGUCAAGCAGAGGCAUACCCACUCCAUUCCUAGCUUGGGCAGUGGCUAGUGAGUGGAAGGCAAUCUGCUACAGGU